GACGAACGCUGGCGGCGUGCUUAACACAUGCAAGUCGAACGGAAAUGCCCUGCUUUUGUGGGGUGCUCGAGUGGCGAAAGGGUUAGUAACACGUGAGUAACCUGCCCUUUACUUUGGGAUAACUUCAGGAAACUGGGGCUAAUACCGGAUAGGAGCUCCUGCUGCAUGGUGGGGGUUGGAAAGUUUCGGCGGUUGGGGAUGGACUCGCGGCUUAUCAGCUUGUUGGUGGGGUAGUGGCUUACCAAGGCUUUGACGGGUAGCCGGCCUGAGAGGGUGACCGGCCACAGUGGGACUGAGAUACGGCCAAGACUCAUACGGGAGGCAGCAGUGGAGAAUAUUGCAAAAUGGGCGGAAGCAUGGUGCAGGAACGCCGCGUGCGGGAUGACGGCCUUCGGGGUGUAAACCGCUUUCGCCUGUGAAGAAGAGUGAGUGACGGUAAUGGGUAAAGAAGCACCGGCUAACUACGUG
rnacentral:rRNA from 1 species